rnacentral:rRNA from 1 species
AGCAGCCGCGGUAAUUCCAGCUCCAAUAGCGUAUAUUAAAGUUGCUGCAGUUAAAAAGCUCGUAGUUGAAUUUCGGGAUCAAUAUGUUGGUCGUGCCUUGGUACGUACUAGCUUAUUGAUUUCUCCUUUCUGACGAACCAUGAUGUCAUUAAUUUGGUGUCAUGGGGAAUCAGGACUGUUACUUUGAAAAAUUAGAGUGUUUAAAGCAGGCUCGCGCUUGAAUACAUUAGCAUGGAAUAAUGAAAUAGGACAUUUGAUUCUAUUUUGUUGGUUUCUAGGAUCGAUGUAAUGAUUAAUAGGGAUAGUUGGGGCAUUAGUAUUCAAUUGUCAGAGGUGAAAUUCUUGGAUUUAUUGAAGACUAACUACUGCGAAAGCAUUUGCCAAGGAUGUUUUCAUUAAUCAAGAACGAAAGUUAGGGGAUCGAAGACGAUCAGAUACCGUC